UUACUGAGUUUACGCUCUACAACCCUUUGUGAACAUACCUAUAACUGUUGCUUCGGCGGGUAGGGUCUCCGUGACCCUCCCGGCCUCCCGCCCCCGGGCGGGUCGGCGCCCGCCGGAGGAUAACCAAACUCUGAUUUAACGACGUUUCUUCUGAGUGGUACAAGCAAAUAAUCAAAACUUUUAACAACGGAUCUCUUGGUUCUGGCAUCGAUGAAGAACGCAGCGAAAUGCGAUAAGUAAUGUGAAUUGCAGAAUUCAGUGAAUCAUCGAAUCUUUGAACGCACAUUGCGCCCGCCAGCAUUCUGGCGGGCAUGCCUGUUCGAGCGUCAUUUCAACCCUCAAGCUCUGCUUGGUGUUGGGGCCCUACAGCUGAUGUAGGCCCUCAAAGGUAGUGGCGGACCCUCCCGGAGCCUCCUUUGCGUAGUAACUUUACGUCUCGCACUGGGAUCCGGAGGGACUCUUGCCGUAAAACCCCCAAUUUUCCAAAGGUUGACCUCGGAUCAGGUAGGAAUACCCGCUGAACUUAAGCAUAUCAAUAAGCGGAGGAAAAGAAACCAACAGGGAUUGCCUCAGUAACGGCGAGUGAAGCGGCAACAGCUCAAAUUUGAAAUCUGGCCCUAGGCCCGAGUUGUAAUUUGCAGAGGAUGCUUUUGGUGCGGUGCCUUCCAAGUUCCCUAGAACGGGACGCCAGAGAGGGUGAGAGCCCCGUACAGUUGGACACCAAGCCUUUGUAAAGCUCCUUCGACGAGUCGAGUAGUUUGGGAAUGCUGCUCAAAAUGGGAGGUAUAUUUCUUCUAAAGCUAAAUACCGGCCAGAGACCGAUAGCGCACAAGUAGAGUGAUCGAAAGAUGAAAAGCACUUUGAAAAGAGGGUUAAACAGCACGUGAAAUUGUUAAAAGGGAAGCGCUUGUGACCAGACUUGCGUCCGGUGAAUCACCCAGCUCUCGCGGCUGGGGCACUUCGCCGGCUCAGGCCAGCAUCAGCUCGCUGUCGGGGACAAAAGCUUCAGGAACGUAGCUCUCUUCGGGGAGUGUUAUAGCCUGUUGCAUAAUACCCUUCGGCGG
rnacentral:misc_RNA from 1 species